rnacentral:rRNA from 1 species
AUGUAUCCAGUGGCUUGGACUGUAGUUGAGAAGGAAACAAAAUAAAGUUGGAAGUGGUUUGUUGGGCUGCUUAUCAAAGAUCUUGAUAUCAACAACAAUGGAGCUGGCUCGGUUUUUAUUUCAGAUCAGCAAAAGGGAUUAAUAAAUGCAAUGCAAGACUAUCUUCCAAAUGCAGAACACAGGAUGUGUGCUAGGCACAUAUAUGCUAACUGGAGAAAGAAGCAUAGGUCUCAUGAGUGGUAG